GUAUGUGCAAUAUCAGUAUCUUCUCUGUGCACUGUGAAUACUGUGUAUUCGACGUUUGUCUGUUUACUUAUUACAUUUUGCCUUUACUGCUUUUUUACUUUUUACGUAGCCUAUUUAUUAUUAUUAUUAUUAUUAUUAUUAUAUCUCGCAUUCUUCACUGACGUCUGUUUUUGUACAAUCCCCAAAUGCUGCUGUAACACUGCAGAAUUCCCCGUUGUGGAACUAAUAAAGGAUUAUCUUAUCUUCUCCGAAAUUUCCUUCCUGAAACUUCUAGCUACCUGCACCUGGUGAUGAUUUUUCACAGUAAAACCAAAAUCUGGAAACUGCAAAUAUGACCGUCCGUUUUCGGAGUAUGGAGUAACGUUAACUAAACCCUUAUAACUGCAGGUGCCUAACAAAAAGUAAGCCUAACCGUCAUGAUAAGGAUGCUGACACAUUUUGACUGUGUUUAGAGGCGUUCAGUGCACAUUAUAGCACGAGAGGACUAACGUACAGGAGCUUUGGUGAUCUGCUCCUCCUGGUAGGUGGAGGUGGAGAUGGAGCCGUAAGGAUCCACUACAGUCUGGGCACAGCGCACCACCGUCACCAGCAGGAAGAAACAAAGGACGAAGAGGAAGAAGAGAGCGAAGCCCAGGUCCACGUCUACCUCAAACUGUGGCGCGGGGUGAGAAGCCUGGUCCAUGUGGGCUGAUGAUGACUGCUAAUCCUUUCUUCUUUGUGUCCUUGUCAGUUCAGCACCACCACUCUAGGAGAAGGACAGGUGUGUGGACAUGUGCUCUUGAGAUGAUGGUGAUGACUUGAUGCCGGAAAUACAAAUCAGAAAGACAGACAAAGAUUAAAGAGGUUACAGCCAGCUUAUGAAUGCAGAGACAGUAUACAACAUAUUACAAAGCAUCCUGUUGGUUAAGAUGCAAAUGUCCCUGGUUGGAUUCUGGUCAGGGUCUUUUGUUGCAUGUCAUACUGUACCAUUUCCCAGGGCUGUAAUUAUUUUCAUUACAGAUUCAUUUCUCAAUUAAAUUAUUAAUCGUUUAGUCUGUAAAAUCGCCAUCACAAUAUCCUGGAAAGCCAAGAUAUUGUCUUCAAAUUGCUUGUUUUGUGCAACCAACAAUCCAAAGAUAUUUGGUUUACUAUCACAUAAAACAGUGGAAACGCUCAAUAUUCUAGAAGCUGGAACAAGAGAAUGUUUGAUAUUUUUUGCUUGAAAAAAAAAUUAUUAAAUAAAUGAAAAUAAAAUAAAUGCUGAAUAACUUUUUGUUGAUUUACCAUUAGGUUAAUCAACCAAUCUUUACAGCUCUACUACGUUUAUAUUGGACAAGUUAAGACACCCAUAACAUAUUGUUCUGGGAUCAUGAAGUUUUAAUCACUAUAAAAGUUGACAGCAGCACAUGAUUUCAAAAAAGAACCAUAUUAGCAAAUAACUGAAGAAACAUAUCAAUUAAUUUUAAAGAUAUGAUUUCAAACUCACCAUUUUUCAUUGUCAUCAGAUGUUUGUUGCUGCAGUUUUUCCACCACCCAUCCAAACCUUUGAAAAGCUUUUCAUAGUAUCUCCGUCCCGACUCCCUCUGAGGUUCCUUAUUACUCGAGUUACAUAAGACAGUCAUCAGUUACCUAAGUCUUAACUGUCCUCGUGAUCAUCCCAGGCAAAAUGAGCAGCCCACAAAUUAGCUUCCUGCGCACACACAUGCAUACUCAUUCAUGCACUUGCACCUUGCGACCUCCCCCUGGCGUGUAAAGCCUUUAUUAAUACUUAAGCAGGAAUUGAAUAACGGUCCACACAGUUCACAAGUGAAGCAAACACCCCACAGCUUUUGUUCUCCUGUCACAAGGACCUCCAUCGCUGUCACCAAUUAGACUUCACACCACUAUAACCCAAGCACCUUAGGUGACACUGAGCUCAUUCAUUACACAAGGCUGAACAGGCAACAGAGGAAGGAGAUAUGUGAAUGAAAAGGCAAAGAUUUGAAGAGGAGCAAGACUGGACACAGAAGGGGGGCGUGUUAAGGAAAGCCCAUGGGUUGGAGCAGCAGAAAUAGGAGAUGCACUAGCAAUUAAACUGCAGAGCCAGAUGCGAGAGCAGGGUGGAAAUUGACCCUGCAGCUUUAAAAUGGAGAUUGUUACAGUGAGGCUGCCAGUGACAAGAACAGUGUGGAGGCUGAAGUGCGGGGCACUGAGGUAAAGUGAUCCUACUCCAUAUGCAAUUAGCCAAGAAGGACUUUCAGGCUGCAGCCAAAAUACUGUAGGGGAAAGUGGCAAAGGAAAGAGGAAGAAACAAUAACUGGUGUCUUUUUAGGGUGGCUGGAAAAAGAACUU